CACUGAGGUUUCCCAUGCUGCCAGUCAUGUCUUACCCACUGAGGUUUCCCCCAUGCUGCCAGUCAUGUCUUACCCACUGAGGUUUCCCCCAUGCUGCCAGUCAUGUCUUACCCACUGAGGUUUCCCCCAUGCUGCCAGUCAUGUCUUACCCACUGAGGUUUCCCCCAUGCUGCCAGUCAUGUCUUACCCACUGAGGUUUCCCAUGCUGCCAGUCAUGUCUUACCCACUGAGGUUUCCCAUGCUGCCAGUCAUGUCUUACCCACUGAGGUUUCCCCCAUGCUGCCAGUCAUGUCUUACCCACUGAGGUUUCCCCCAUGCUGCCAGUCAUGUCUUACCCACUGAGGUUUCCCAUGCUGCCAGUCAUGUCUUACCCACUGAGGUUUCCCCCAUGCUGCCAGUCAUGUCUUACCCACUGAGGUUUCCCCCAUGCUGCCAGUCAUGUCUUACCCACUGAGGUUUCCCCCAUGCUGCCAGUCAUGUCUUACCCACUGAGGUUUCCCCCAUGCUGCCAGUCAUGUCUUACCCACUGAGGUUUCCUAUGCUGCCAGUCAUGUCUUACCCACUGAGGUUUCCCCCAUGCUGCCAGUCAUGUCUUACCCACUGAGGUUUCCCAUGCUGCCAGUCAUGUCUUACCCACUGAGGUUUCCCCCAUGCUGCCAGUCAUGUCUUACCCACUGAGGUUUCCCCCAUGCUGCCA